UUUAAUGUCGUAGGACUAGAAAAGGAGAAUUGUUGCCCCUCUUGGGCAGAGCUUAGGUCAUUUGGGACGUUAAGGUUACUUUCUUGGUGAUUAGCCAUCGUGGAUCUCAGUGGGUUUCUUUAAGAGUGAAAACUCCGGUGAUGAAAAAAUCUCCGUCGUUUCCCACAGACGGCGCCAAUUGAUAAUCUGAGAUCCAAUAGAAUAGGGUUUUACAAGGGUUUUGGUAUUGAAGAAUAAAGCUUGGUCCAUCUCUCUAGAGGGGUAUCCCUUUUAUCCUUUCUGUCUGCUUGCUGGUGACGUACUACGGCUCUCCUAUGAUUGGGCCACGCGUCUCUGCCAUACAGAUAUGGGCGUACGAGGAUAUCAGGCGCCUGCUCCAUGCGUAACGGCCUCUGAUUCUCCCCCGUGCGUACGCUCGAGCGGAUCUGCCAGGCUGUAUGACGAGUCUCGUUCUGGAUCCUGGGCUGGGCCGAAAGCUAGGCUGGACGCGGAACCCAGGAGGAGAAGGAAUCCGUGGGGAGGUUAUACGGGCUGGGCCGAUCUCGAUUAGGAAGAAUCUGGUGGAGUCCGGCCUCAGGGGUCUGAUGGUCCGGGCCUGUU
rnacentral:lncRNA from 1 species